AUAAACUACUACUCUUCAGGCUCUAGCAUUCUGCAGCGACUGAGACUCAAAUAUUCAGCACUAGCAGUGCCAGGCUUUGUUAGGCUGAAAAUUCAUCUGGAGUAUUGCUGGCACAAUGUGCUGUAAAAUUAUUAGUAGGAAAACUAGAAGGAAGGAUGUACAAAUCAAAGCUAAGAGAGGAAAGUCUGAGAAGCACAAGACCCACUCAAGUCCCUGUUUCAAGUCCUAGAGAGAGAAGAUUUCAUACUGCUUCUCCUACAGGCUUUCCAAGCCAGCUGCAUGAUGAACCUGACAAGUCUCUUCAGUUUCCCAGCUGCGCACAAGGCUCUGAACAGCAGCCAGCAAGAAGCAGGGGUCAACUUUGAAAUUCUGAAUCCAAAGAACAUGGAAAAGUUCACCUAGUCUGCUCCAAAGACAGAAAUAAAAUAGUAAAAACUGACCAACUUAUACCAUCUCUUUCAUUUCACUGUCUGAAAAAUCAAAGUAGC